rnacentral:rRNA from 1 species
ACGUAGGGGGCAAGCGUUAUCCGGAAUUACUGGGUGUAAAGGGAGCGUAGACGGCUGUGCAAGUCUGGAGUGAAAGGCGGGGGCUCAACCCCCGGACUGCUCUGGAAACUGUAUGGCUGGAGUGCAGGAGAGGUAAGCGGAAUUCCUAGUGUAGCGGUGAAAUGCGUAGAUAUUAGGAGGAACACCAGUGGCGAAGGCGGCUUACUGGACUGUAACUGACGUUGAGGCUCGAAAGCGUGGGGAGCAAA